GGAUCGGGCAGCAAGGACACCAAUAGGGGUAGUCAUGUGGCUGAGAUAUGCGAUGGGGCUCAAGAAUGCCACGGAUUGCAAUUGGCUCACCAACUUCCCUUCCGAUAAUGAGGCUAGUACUAUUAGUGUUCCCUGUCCUCCUCGUAAACACACAAACCCUCUCAGACUUUACAUUAUCUUUCAACUAAAUUUGCGUAAAUGAAUAAUCUACUUUAUAUAUACUUCAAUGUGACUCACUAGGGAAUGACCAACGUAGUGGAUCUUCUGAGAAGUUUGUUGAGAAACAUGGUCGAAAACGGCCGGAAGAUCAUAGAGUACCAGCUCGUCCCAAGACCAAUUCCAGAAAGCUUGAUCGGUCGGGUUCAGCGUGGUAUGUCGGCG
rnacentral:lncRNA from 1 species